rnacentral:lncRNA from 13 species
AUGCUUUCUUGGUACACAAGAUCGCGUGUACAGUUCAUUAUCUCUAGCACAGAAUUGUCUACUGCGUCCACCUACCAUUGUCGAUUCCGUGUCAUCUGUGAACUGCUGAUGAUCCCGCCUCCAAAGAACCUAAGCUGAAUUCUCAUUGGAAGAAUGGAGCGCCAGUCUUUCCUUCACGAGUGAACACGCCAAGAGACUCCAGUGGUGACCCCCUUUGGAGACAGAAAUCAAAGUAAGUGACUAGAGUAAGACCCCAUUGACACAACCAGAGACUCCUAAUAGACAUGACAGAUCUAUACUCAUAUUAAAUACACUACAUCCAUGGACGAGAGUUUCCCUGUAUAGAGGGUUUUCAACUAAACAAAGGCCUAGUCAAGUGAAUCCACAUUACACUUGUUUGAGCUAUAUCUCAGAGAAACAUAAUACAUGCAACUGUUUACAUCUGAUGAAAAUUGAGAUUGCAAAACAAUAAAUUAGAUUUUACAUGCAGAUGUAGGAUCCUAAUUUGAUCACUAUUUUGUUGAGGAGAAUUUUCCUGCACCUCAGGAAAUGCAAACUUGUAGUGUUUUCAAGGUUUCAAAUGUCAGACUUCAUUUGCCAUAAUGUAAAAAAAUUAUCAACCCCAACAAAAAAUAUCAAUGAAUUAUAAUCCACAUAAUAAUUUACAUAUCCUGUUGCUGCAGGAUUAUUUUCCUGCUGUAGAAAACUGUCUUAAAUUAAGAUCCUACACCUGUAGUAACAGGUGCUAUUGUAAUUGAUCCGUUGUUUUUUGCCAUUUAGUAUUUACAUUACUUUGAAUGAUGC